UGAGUGGAGCUUGCUCCAUGAUUCAGCGGCGGACGGGUGAGUAAUGCCUAGGAAUCUGCCUGGUAGUGGGGGACAACGUUUCGAAAGGAACGCUAAUACCGCAUACGUCCUACGGGAGAAAGUGGGGGAUCCCCGGACCUCACGCUAUCAGAUGAGCCUAGGUCGGAUUAGCUAGUUGGUGAGGUAAAGGCUCACCAAGGCGACGAUCCGUAACUGGUCUGAGAGUAUGAUCAGUCACACUGGAACUGAGACACGGUCCAGACUCCUACGGGAGGCAGCAGUGGGGAAUAUUGGACAAUGGGCGAAAGCCUGAUCCAGCCAUGCCGCGUGUGUGAAGAAGGUCUUCGGAUUGUAAAGCACUUUAAGUUGGGAGGAAGGGCAGUAAGUUAAUACCUUGCUGUUUUGACGUUACCAACAGAAUAAGCACCGGCUAACUUCGUGCCAGCAGCCGCGGUAAUACGAAGGGUGCAAGCGUUAAUCGGAAUUACUGGGCGUAAAGCGCGCGUAAAUGGUUCGUUAAGUUGGAUGUGAAAGCCCCCGGCUCAACCUGGGAACUGCAUCCAAAACUGGCGAGCUAGAGUAUGGCAGAGGGUGGUGGAAUUUCCUGUGUAGCGGUGAAAUGCGUAGAUAUAGGAAGGAACACCAGUGGCGAAGGCGACCACCUGGGCUAAUACUGACACUGAGGUGCGAAAGCGUGGGGAGCAAACAUGAUUAGAUACCCUGGUAGUCCACGCCGUAAACGAUGUCGACUAGCCGUUGGGAUCCUUGAGAUCUUAGUGGCGCAGCUAACGCAUUAAGUCGACCGCCUGGGGAGUACGGCCGCAAGGUUAAAACUCAAAUGAAUUGACGGGGGCCCGCACAAGCGGUGGAGCAUGUGGUUUAAUUCGAAGCAACGCGAAGAACCUUACCAGGCCUUGACAUGCAGAGAAC
rnacentral:rRNA from 2 species